UGAUUGGUUUUUACUUCCUCAGCAGCCUUCCAUUGGUAGAUAGGUGGACGUCACUUUUACAGCGCGCUAAAAUUGUGGAAAUAACUGCUCGGUACAAUAGUUAGCUAUGUCAUUUUCCUGGUGUGAUUUAUUAUUGCCCGCAGUCAGGUAAGAAACGUCAGACUUAUUUCGUUUGAGAUGACGGCCUUUUGGGACUUUUUUAACCCACUCUUGUAGCUUUAGCUCAGAGAGCCAGAUGGCUAAGGCUAGAUGUGUCUGCUCUCUGAUUUGACGUUGUUUACAUUCUCAUGUGGCUCUUGUUUGAAACGUUAGGUAGCUACUACGUUUAUAAUGAAUGCUAACAAUGAUUUGGAGUAUAACUGCCAUGAGAGCCAGCUGUUUGGAUACUGCUGAAAUCACUGACUUAUAUAUUUAUAUAGAUAACGUUACCGUUCACUUUCACACUUGCACAAACUCUGAACUCUAGUCUAACAUAUCAUAUUUACAACAAAUUGCUACCGGCUAUAAUAUUAAUUAUUCAUCAUCUUAGCAAACUGAUUCCUACAAGGUCGAUAAUAUCUGUGGAAGUGAUGGCUCCUAUGUAGCUAGUUAUCUAUUCAAUUUUUGUAUCAUGCAUUACUCGGAGACUACGGUAACUAACAUAUUGUCUUUCCCACUCUGACUUGUUCUAUUAUUCAGGGUGAUAUUAACGGAGCCCCAGAAGCAUUAACAUAACUCAAACACAGGAUCAGUACAUUGCUGUCCUUAGGCUUGUAUUCGUUAAGGAACACUGUAGGAAAACGUUUAGCAACAGAUAAACAAAAACAAGUGUUUCUUAUUGGACAUUCAGCUAGGUCUCUCCGUUUUGGUCCGUUUGCUUCUACUGAAUAGGACCCAGGUAUCCUCCUAUAAUUCAUGUCAGUUACUGAAAUAUGUUGCUUUGAAUUUUGUGUUUCUGCGUGUGUUUCACAGAGCUCCACAAAGAAUAUCGAACGCUCAAGCAAGCAAAUAAAUGGGCACACAGACCCAACACCUACCUCACAGACUCAAUCAGGUUUUGUCUGUAGAUAGCGGCAGCCGUCCCUGUUGCCAGAGAGAAAAGGACUCAGGUUGCUGGGGCACUCAGCUGAACUGUAAGAGCAUGCCGGUGGCUGCCCCCAAACUGACUCUGACAGCCAAGGAAAGGGAGUCCCUCCAAGCCUCGGCCCAGUACUUUGACAUGAAGCUCAAGUCAAACCUGGACCUGGGAGCUCUAACAAAGGAGAGACCGGUUUCUCUGAAGAAGUCGUUCACUCCUCGUGGAACACCUCUGAAGUCAUGGAAAGAUGUCCAGAGCCCAUACCCUGCAGCUGGAGCUGCAGACAGACAUACCCUGCAUCUGGAGCUGCAGACAGACAUACCCUGCAGCUGGAGCUGCAGACAGACAUACCCUGCAGCUGGAGCUGCAGACAGCCAUACCCUACAGCUGGAGCUGCGGGCAGACAGCCAUACCCUACAGCUGGAGCUGCAGGCAGACAGCCAUACCCUGCAGCUGGAGCUGCGGGCAGACAGCCAUACCCUACAGCUAAGCUGCGGGCAGACAGCCAUACCCUACAGCUGGAGCUGCGGACAGACAGACAUACCCUACAGCUGGAGCUGCGGGCAGACAGACAUACCCUACAGCUGGAACUGCGGGCAGACAGACAUAUCCUGCAGCUGGAGCUGCAGGCAGACAGACAUACCCUGUUAUCCCCUCUGCCAAAGCCAGCCAACACACGUCAAGACCUGGCCUCUCCAAUGCAGACAGGGACAGAACACCCAGAGCAGCUGCCGGAGGAGCCCUUUGAGCCCCUAA
rnacentral:lncRNA from 13 species